rnacentral:sRNA from 1 species
UGAUCUUUUUGCACUUUCUGUCUUAGUUUAGUAUUGGAUUCCUCUCCUGUCCCUGAACCAACUUGUUCAGCCUCUUCUCCCUGAAUAAACCCACUCAGCUUCUUCUCCCUGAAUAAACCCACUCAGCUGUUAUCCGGAACACAAGCUCCACCUUAGUUGUGAGACACUUUGAGUAUCAAUCUUCAGUACUUGUAUUUCACCAUUACUCACCAACUCUCUAAUGAAAUGAU